GUUGAUUUUUUUAAUUUAGCUUUUUUGUUUCUUUCCUACAGUUCCAGUCGCUAGGCAUGCAUCAACAAGAAACCUACAGGAGCCAUGGCAUGGGAAGCAUGAGGAUGAACUCUACGUGGAAAUCAAACAGAACGAACACCUAUCGGGCCGGCUCAUCAAUUUACCAACGUUCUUUAAGCCUUCGAUCGGCUGACCGCAUUGAAGACCAUAUCAACAGG